rfam:Stegodyphus mimosarum contig173273, whole genome shotgun sequence.
GCCUUCGUAGCGUAGUGGUCAGCAUACUCGACUCGUAUUCGAAAGAUCCGAGUUUCGAGUCUCGGCGAUGGCA